AACACUAUACUUACUUUUUUUGAAGAUUAUAAAUUUAUACCAUAUAAGGUGUACAUUAUAGUCUCCUUAGUCUAAAUCCCCCAUAAACUUUGGGCUCUCUCUUUGGACUACAGUGCUAUUUAUUAUAGCUUCCAUGAACUAAUUUUUGUAAUGUGUGUUGUUUUUAAAAUAAAAAAAUCCCACGUUACCUGCUUUUGCACAAUUUUUAUGACAGGCUUAUGUAUAUAUUCUUAAUCUUUGCACAACUUUUAUUUAUAACAGGUUUAUAUAUAUAUGUAUGUUUAAUCCUCACUUUUUACUGAUUUUUAGAGAAAGAGGAAGGGAGAGACAGAAACAUCCAUUGGUUUCCUUCCAUAUGCACCCCGACCUGGAUUGAACUGGCAACGUAGAUUAUUUAAAACAGCUAGGAUUUAGAAGCAGUCCAAGUGCCCACCAGUGGAUGAGUGGAUACAAAGCAGUGGUACAGUUACACUAUGGAAUACUACUCAGCCGUAGAAAAGAAGGGACUCUUACCCUUUGUGACAGCACGGACAUUUGAGCAUAUUUAACUCAAGAAGACUGGGACUAUAACUGUUGACCAACGUGGAAAGGAUUUAGCUAAAAAGCAGUUCCAUUAAAAAUUGUCCCAAUUGCUCAGUCACUUCCAUUUGGCAAGCCAGCGAUAAGCACCCUUAUUUUUCCGAUUGGUUCAGUGGGGGUAAAGCAUCACACAAAAGGGGCCAAGGUCCAGCGUUUGAUUCCCCCUUGGAGUUAACCAGGUACAGGCCACCGAAGUCUAUUCAGCGUGACAGAGGGGGUGCACCACACAGGCCACCCCGAGAGAACCAGGAUUCUUUUGAAGAACUUAAAGCUUUCAGUGGGUAAAGAGGAAGGGAGA